ACGGGAGGCAGCAGUGGGGAAUAUUGCACAAUGGGGGAAACCCUGAUGCAGCAACGCCGCGUGAGUGAUGAAGUAUUUCGAUAUGUAAAGCUCUAUCAGCAGGGAAGAUAAUGACGGUACCUGACUAAGAAGCCCCGGCUAACUACGUGCCAGCAGCCGCGGUAAUACGUAGGGGGCAAGCGUUAUCCGGAUUUACUGGGUGUAAAGGGAGCGUAGGUGGUAUGGUAAGUCAGAAGUGAAAACCCAGGGCUUAACCUUGGGAUUGCUUUUGAAACUAUCAAACUAGAGUGCAGGAGGGGUAAGCGGAAUUCCUAGUGUAGCGGUGAAAUGCGUAGAUAUUAGGAAGAACACCAGCGGCGAAGGCGGCUUACUGGACUGUAACUGACACUGAGGCUCGAAAGCGUGGGGAGCAAACAGGAUUAGAUACCCUGGUA
rnacentral:rRNA from 1 species